rnacentral:rRNA from 1 species
UACGGAAGGCAGCAGUGGGGAAUAUUGCACAAUGGGCGCAAGCCUGAUGCAGCCAUGCCGCGUGUAUGAAGAAGGCCUUCGGGUUGUAAAGUACUUUCAGCGGGGAGGAAGGGAGUAAAGUUAAUACCUUUGCUCAUUGACGUUACCCGCAGAAGAAGCACCGGCUAACUCCGUGCCAGCAGCCGCGGUAAUACGGAGGGUGCAAGCGUUAAUCGGAAUUACUGGGCGUAAAGGGCACGCAGGCGGUUAAUUAAGUUGGAUGUGAAAUCCCCGGGCUUAACCUGGGAAUGGCAUUCAAGACUGGUUAGCUAGAGUCUUGUAGAGGGGGUAGAAUUCCAUGUGUAGCGGUGAAAUGCGUAGAGAUGUGGAGGAAUACCGGUGGCGAAGGCGGCCCCUGGACAAAGACUGACGCUCAUGUGCGAAAGCGUGGGGAGCAAACAGGGAUUAGAUACC